CUGGCGGAGUGCUUAACACAUGCAAGUCGAACGAGAUCCAUUCAGUAGCAAUACUGAUGAAGAUCUAGUGGCGAAGGGUGCGUAACACGUGAGGAACUUGUCCCGGUCUCUGGGAUAACAGUGGAAACGACUGCUAAUACCGGAUGACGUCGGAACUUCGCAUGGAGUACUGACGAAAGGGUUACUGGAUCGGGAGAGCCUCGCGGCCUAUCAGCUUGUUGGUGGGGUAAUAGCCUACCAAGGCAUCGACGGGUAGCUGGUCUGAGAGGAUGAUCAGCCACACUGGGACUGAGACACGGCCCAGACUCCUACGGGAGGCAGCAGUGGGGAAUCUUGCACAAUGGGCGAAAGCCUGAUGCAGCAACGCCGCGUGCGGGAAGAAGGCCCUCGGGUUGUAAACCGCUUUCAGAAGGAACGAAACUGACGGUACUUUCAGAAGAAGGUGCGGCCAACUACGUGCCAGCAGCCGCGGUGACACGUAGGCACCAAGCGUUGUCCGGAUUUAUUGGGCGUAAAGAGCUCGUAGGCGGUUCAGUAAGUCGGGUGUGAAAACUUUGGGCUUAACCCAAAGCGUGCAUCCGAUACUGCUGUGACUUGAGUUCGGUAGGGGAGCGGGGAAUUCCUAGUGUAGCGGUGAAAUGCGCAGAUAUUAGGAGGAACACCGGUGGCGAAGGCGCCGCUCUGGGCCGAAACUGACGCUGAGGAGCGAAAGCAUGGGUGGCAAACAGG
rnacentral:rRNA from 1 species